ACACAGGAGGAUGGAGUCAUAUGUAGAAGUUCACGUAAGUGAGGAAAGUUUCUGACUGCCAUUCACUUGGGAGUGGCCAGGAACGAUUCUUUUACAUGUGGCUCAAGCAGCUCACAACUUCCGGUCUUAGACCAAGUAUCCUCUGGGUAGCCAACAGACAUCCGUCUGGAAGCGAGCUAAAGUGAGAAGGCGAAUCCCGCUUAUGCGGUUGUGCGUAGGGCUUGGGACCCACCACAUAAAAACGAAUAACCAGUGAAUAAGAAACACAGGCCUCGGAUGAGAAACCCCCCUUUUGAUGACGACCACGGCAAACGUAUAAAGGACUAUGAUUUAAGGGCAUGCACCUGGAAUGUCCGGACCCUUAAUUGGGAAGGUGCCUCUGCCCAGCUGGUUGAUGUCCUCGUAAGAGUAAAGGCUGACAUCACCGCAAUCCAAGAAAUGCGAUGGACGGGACAAGGACGGAAGAAGGUGGGUCCUUGUGACAUCUACUACAGCGGCCAUAUAAAGGAGCGCAAAUUCGGUGUGGGAUUCGUGGUGGGAGAGAGACUCCGUCGUCGAGUCCUGGCAUUCACUCCGGUGGAUGAACGUCUAGCCACAAUCCGCAUCAAAGCGAGGUUCUUCAACAUAUCGCUGAUUUGCGCCCACGCCCCGACGGAAGAGAAGGACGAUGUGACCAAAGAUACCUUCUAUGAGCGCCUAGAACGUACCUAUGAGCGCUGCCCCCGCCACGAUGUCAAAAUCGUGCUUGGCGAUUUCAACGCUAGGGUGGGUAAAGAAGGUGUCUUUGGCACAACAGUCGGAAAAUUCAGCCUCCAUGACGAAACAUCACCAAACGGUCUGAGGCUGAUCGACUUCGCCGGGGCCCGAAAUAUGGUCAUCUGUAGCACUAGAUUCCAGCAUAAGAAAAUCCAUCAAGCUACUUGGCUGUCCCCGGAUCGAAUCACUCGCAACCAGAUCGAUCAUGUUGUGAUAGAUGGACGACAUGUCUCCAGUGUUUUUGAUGUGCGUACGCUUCGUGGUCCCAACAUCGACUCGGACCACUAUCUUGUAGCAGCUAAGAUACGCACCCGCCUCUGUGUAGAAAAGCGCACACGUCAACAAACACAAGGAAGGUUCGACAUCGAGAAGCUGCAAUCACAACCGACAGCCGAACGAUUUUCUACUCGACUUGCACUCCUGCUCUCUGAGAGCACUCAUCAGCAUCUCGGUAUAAGGAAGCUGUGGGACGGCAUAUCAAACUCCUUACGUACAGCUGCAACCGAAACCAUUGGCUUUCGGAAAAGCCAAAAAAACAGCUGGUAUGAUGAGGAUUGUCGUCUCGCAGUGGAGAGAAAACAGACUGCCUACCUCGCAAUGUUGCGAUCGACCGCAACACGAGCGGGAUGGGAAAGAUACCGAGAGCUGAAGAGGGAAGCGAGACGCAUUUGCAGAAAAAGAAAGAAAGAGGCAGAAAUGCGUGAGUAUGAAGAGCUUGACAAGCUGGCCGACAGGGGUAAUGCUCGAAAAUUUUACGAAAAGAUCCGGCGACUAACUGAAGGUUUCAAGACCGGAGCACACUCCUGUAGGACCCCCAGCGGUGAUCUAGUGGUUGAUGACCAGAGUAUACUGUGUUUGUGGAGGGAACACUUCUCCAGCCUGCUGAAUGGCAGUGAAAGUACAACACCAGGAGAUGGCGAACCCGAUUCCCCAAUCGACGACGAUGGAACAGAUGUUCCAUUGCCCGACCGUGAAGAAAUUAGAAUAGCAAUUACCCGCUUGAAGAACAACAAGGCGGCGGGGGCCGAUGGAUUGCCGGCCGAGCUAUUCAAAUACGGCGGCGAAGAGCUGAUAAGGUGCAUGCAUCAACUUCUUUGCGAAAUAUGGUCGGAAGAAAGCAUGCCCGACGAUUGGAAUCUCAGUGUACUCUGCCCAAUCCACAAAAAGGGAGACCCCACAAUCUGCGCCAACUAUCGUGGGAUAAGCCUCCUUAACAUCGCUUAUAAGGUUCUAUCGAGCGUACUGUGUGAAAGACUAAAGCCCACCGUCAACAAACUGAUUGGACCUUAUCAGUGUGGCUUUAGACCUGGAAAAUCAACAACUGACCAGAUAUUCACCAUGCGCCAAAUCUUGGAGAAGACCCGUGAAAAAAGGAUCGACACACACCAUCUAUUUGUCGACUUUAAAGCUGCUUUCGACAGCACGAAAAGGAGCUGCCUUUAUGCCGCGAUGUCUGAAUUUGGUAUCCCCGCAAAACUAAUACGGCUGUGUAAGUUGACGUUGAGCAACACCAAAAGCUCCGUCAGGAUCGGGAAGGACCUCUCCGAGCCGUUCGAUACCAAACGAGGUUUCAGACAAGGUGACUCGCUAUCGUGCGACUUCUUUAACUUGAUGCUGGAGAAAAUUAUAAGAGCUGCAGAGCUAAAUAGAGAAGGUACAAUCUUCUACAAGAGUGUACAGCUCCUGGCGUACGCCGAUGAUAUUGAUAUCAUCGGAAACAACACCCGCGCCGUUAGUUCUGCUUUUUCCCGCCUGGAUAAGGAAGCGAAGCGAAUGGGUCUGGUGGUGAACGAGGACAAGACGAAAUAUCUCCUGUCAUCAAACAAACAGUCAGCGCAUUCGCGUCUUGGCUCCCACGUCACUGUUGGCAGUCAUAACUUUGAAGUUGUAGAUAAUUUCGUAUACCUAGGAACCAACAUUAACACCGAUAAUAAUGUCAGCCUUGAAAUCCAACGCAGAAUCACUCUUGCCAACAGGUGCUACUAUGGACUGAGUAGGCAAUUGAAAAGUAAAGUCCUCUCUCGACGAACAAAAACUAAACUCUACAAGUCCCUCAUCAUUCCCGUCCUACUUUAUGGUGCAGAAGCGUGGACGGUGUCAACAUCCGAUGAGACGGCACUAGGAGUUUUCGAGAGAAAGGUUUUGCGGAAGAUUUACGGUCCCUUAAACAUUGGCAACGGCGAAUACCGCAGAAGAUGGAAUGAUGAGCUGUAUGUGUUGUUCGACGACAUAGACAUAGUCCAGCGAAUAAAAAGACAGCGGCUACGCUGGCUGGGUCAUGUUGUUCGAAUGGAUGAAAGUGCCCCAGCUCUGAAAGUUUUCGAUGCAGUACCCGCUGGUGGAAGCCGAGGAAGAGGGAGACCUCCACUCCGGUGGAAGGACCAGGUGGAGAAGGACCUGUCUUCACUUGGUAUUACCAAUUGGCGCCAAACCGCCAAAAGGAGAGAUGCGUGGCGCACUGUUGUGGACUCGGCUAUAACCGCGUAAGCGGUUUCUACGCCAGUUAAGAAGAAGAAGAAUAUAUAUACAAAAAACCUAUUUGUGGGCGGGGUCACACCCACUUUUCCCAAAAAAUUACAUUCAAAUGUGCCCCACUCUAAUGCGAGCCUAUGUUCCAAAUUUUAUUUUCAUAACUUUAUUUAUGGCUUAGUUAUAGCUCUUUAUGUGUUUUUGGUUAUCGCCAUUUUGUGGGCGUGGAGGUGGUCCGAUUCCGCAUUCUAUCUUCGAACUUAACCUUCUUGUGGUGCCAAGGAACACGUGUUCCAAGUUUCAUUAAGAUAUCUCAAUUUUUACUCAAGUCACAGCUUGCACGGACGGACAGACAGACAGACGGGCAUGGGCAUUACGAAAUACUUUCAAAAUAUUGUCACUUAUACUCCAACCAAUCAACUAAGGGUUAAUGAUGUCAGAUUUAGCUAAGCAAUUAUUUAAUUGCCACAACAUUUCAAAUAUCAUUGACUCACCAACAUACACACUUACAUGACAAUCGGCCUUUCUUUGUCAACAACCAGAAGAGACAUUUAUCUUGGUAGGAAUUCAUUAGCGCAUUCAUUCAAUGUCAGAGGCCGCCAACGGCUGUCAUCCGCUGUCAACAACCUAAACACACACGCACACUGGCAUACCUUUCAACAGCCCGCAAGCAAAUAGCGCAAUUUAUUGUUGCGGCCGCCUUGAUGAGCCACUGAUGACCACAACAAAUAAUUUUGGCAUGUAAAUUAAAUCUGAAUAAAGUCUUUGUACUUCGCAGCCACAGACACAGGCAUACAGAUAUAUGCAUAUACAUACAUAUAUGCGAGUGCAGCUGUACGGUGCGCGUAUGCGGCAAUAAAAUAUAAAUUACCCAGAAACGCGCUAAUAAAUCAGAUCAUAAAGAUAAACCUAUUUUGUGUAAAUUAUGCACGCGAAGGUGUUUGAGUGUGUGUGUGUUUGUGGUUGUAGUGUGUAGAUCUAGCAUAUGCUUUGUACUUGCAGCUUUUGCAGUGUGAUGCUUCAUGAAUGCAUUCAUAAAUGGGAAUGACACUUGGAGGAAAAUUUUUGGUACAGUGGUGGUGAAUAGAAAUGUACACAGAAAUUAUUUAAAUGGAAAUUGAUUAAAAAAUAAUAGUAACUUUAAAUUAAAUUGACUAAUUGUGCUUGGAAUAUCUGGAAUAAAUUUUGAAAAUGAAUUAUGAAUGAAAUUUAAUAAAUAUGUGAAAUCAUUAAAAAAUUAAUAAUUUUUUUUUUUAAUAAAAAAGUUCUAUAAAAUAAUCUAAAUUGAUUUUUUUAAUUUGUUUGAAUUUGUAUAACUUUAAAUUUUAUCAAAUAAAUUAUAUCACAAUGAACGCAGUUUUUAUAAAAUAUCCAAUGAAGAUAUAGGGAUGAAACUUUGCAAGAAUAGUACAUUGGAGGUGUGGCAUCUCAUUUCAAAUUUGUCGAAAUCUGACAAAAACUUUUCAAGGUUCCAGUCUCUGAAGAUGAGCAUCUUGGUGACUGAGUAAUUUUGUACCGAAAAUAUCUGUAAAGCUCUAUGGUAUUUUUUGGAAAUUGAUUUAUAAUCAUUUUCUUCUAAUAAAGCGCAUCCAAAAAAUGAAGAUUUAUACUUCCGGUAAGCUUUAUACCAUAUAUAGCGGUUAAUUUUGACAAAAUUAAAAUCGGUCCAGGAAUGCCAACAACACUCAGAAUUACUAGGUAUGUAAAAGAUCGUCUGCUCAUAGAAAAAUAUAAAAAUCUCCUUGGAGUUUUCUUAUAAAUAUCAGACUAACUGAAUUUUCGUGAACAGAUCGUUGCACUUGGAGAAUAUUAAAUUCUAUGGCUUCGAUAUGGACUACACUUUGGCGG